UACGGAGGGGGCUAGCGUUGUUCGGAAUUACUGGGCGUAAAGCGCACGUAGGCGGCUUUGUAAGUUAGAGGUGAAAGCCCGGGGCUCAACCCCGGAACUGCUUUUAAGACUGCAUCGCUUGAAUCCAGGAGAGGUGAGUGGAAUUCCGAGUGUAGAGGUGAAAUUCGUAGAUAUUCGGAAGAACACCAGUGGCGAAGGCGGCUCACUGGCCUGGUAUUGACGCUGAGGUGCGAAAGCGUGGGGAGCAAACAGG
rnacentral:rRNA from 1 species